rnacentral:rRNA from 1 species
UACAGAGGGGGCAAGCGUUAUUCGGAAUUAUUGGGCGUAAAGGGCGCGUAGGCGGCCUUGCAAGUGACGGGUGAAAUCCCUCGGCUUAACCGAGGAACUGCCUGUCAAACUGCGUGGCUUGAGACCAGGAGAGGUGAGUGGAAUUCCCAGUGUAGCGGUGAAAUGCGUAGAUAUUGGGAGGAACACCAGUGGCGAAGGCGGCUCACUGGACCGGUAUUGACGCUGAGGCGCGAAAGCCAGGGGAGCAAACGGG